GACGAACGCUGGCGGCGUGCUUAACACAUGCAAGUCGAACGGAAAGGCCCUGCUUUUGUGGGGUGCUCGAGUGGCGAACGGGUGAGUAACACGUGAGUAACCUGCCCUUGACUUUGGGAUAACUUCAGUAAACUGGGGCUCAUACCGGAUAUGAGCUCCUUCUGCAUGGUGGUGGUUGUAAAGUUUCGGCGGUUGGGGAUGGACUCGCGGCUUAUCAGCUUGUUGGUGGGGUAGUGGCUUACCAAGGCUUUGACGGGUAGCCGGACUGAGAGGGUGACCGGCCACAUUGGGACUGAGAUACGGCCCAGACUCCUACGGGAGGCAGCAGUGGGGAAUAGUGCACAAUGGGCGGAAGCCAGAUGCAGCAACGCCGCGUGCGGGAUGACGGCCUUCGGGUUGUAAACCGCUUGCGCCUGUGACGAAGCGUGAGUGACGGUAAUGGGUAAAGAAGCACCGGCUAACUACGUG
rnacentral:rRNA from 1 species